UCCAGAUUGUUUCUCCCCCAUGUUCUGCAACACUGAAAAAUUAACAGUAUUACAAAAUGAGACUUAAUAACUGAACACUAACAGUAUUCUAAAAUACUCUAACCUCAAGCCUCUGUGAUGUCUCAACCAAAAAAGUUAAGACAAAAACAAAAUACUUUUUUAAGUAGAACUUUUGGCACUGAGCCUCAAAAUGUAUUCUCCAAUAAAGAAAUAACAGAAAUGAUGAGUUUCUUAACCCAAGCUGUCUCUCAUCAAGCAAUUAAACAUUCUCUGAAAAAACAGGUUUAGCAAUGCUAGUGGUUACUGUGGCAUCAUCUGGUGUGUAUAUCAACCAACUAAUUACCAUAAAUAUUACCAGUAACAAUAUUUUUUCUUUAUGGUGAAUUCUUUAUAAUACCACGAUUUUAUUUUAAAGCACUAAAAACUACACAACUAUCUUCAUUCAUAAACCAUUUUAAGAAGACAGGUGAACUACAUCUAGGAAUUUGUGGAGAAAAACCCCAUCAGACCAGAAAAGGAUUUUGUCACUUGCCAUGGGACCCUCACCAGAGCCAGCACCAGGCCUCCAAAACUGAAUUAUAUGUCUUUUUAAAGUGUAAAAGUUGGAGAUUGAAGACUGCUUCCAAAUUGCUUAAGACACCUUCCUGCAGGCUCCUCACAAAAGGGAGAAUCACUUUGGACCUCCUUUACAUAGCCACAUCCAUAUCCUGGGGUGUGGACUCCACCCUCAAGGUCGAAGGGUCCUCCCCCUAAGAGAUAAGUUUCAGCACACUAAUGGUACACUUCUGGCACUACCACUCCCUCCAUACGGUGGAGUAAAUUAGAGUGCAUCCAAACAAAAUAUCACUCAGCCUUUGGGAAGUUAUUUAGACCAUGAGGCAAACAAACUUUUCAUGUUUUGAGACAACUAAGGAAAUCCAAACACCACCAGUGUGACAAUAAUAAUGAUUACUGUUGAUAGUCUUGAAUAUUUAAGAAGAUUUAGCUUUGAGAGAUACAUAAUAGAACAUUUAAUGCAAUGGUUUUGCUGGCCAUGCAUGAAUAACUAUUGAAGAGGGGAAAAGUGGCAAAAGCACAAUGUCUCAACUUUUGGGAAUAUCAAAAAUGUUCCAGGGCUGGAAUUGUGGCUCAGUGGAGGAGCGUUCGUGUCGCAUGUAUGGAGCACUGGGUUCCAUUCUCAGCACCACAUAGAAAUGAAUAAAUAAAAUAAAGGUACUAUGUCCAUCAAAACUAAAAAAAAAAAAAAAGAAAGAAAAGAAAAGAAAGAAAGAAAAUGUUCCACAAAUGUUUUUUUAAGUUAUUUAUGUUUCCAUUUACUGACAUGAAAAACCUUAAGACAAACUGUUACAUACAGUAGCAGGGAAAGAGCCAGGUGCAAUGGCACAUGCGUGUAAUCCAAUGGCUAGGGAGGCUGAGGCUAGAGGAGUGCAAAUUCAAAACUAGCCUCAGCAACAUAGUGAGGCCCUAAGCAACUUUGCAAGACCCUUUUGCAAGAAAGAGCAGGCUGCAUCUAAAUUGAGCAAAAUAUCCAGGACCUAAGGGAAAUGCUAAGUAUAGUAUACUAUGCAAAUAACGUAAAUUUCCAAAGAUGCCACCCAGUCAUACAGGAGUUGAAGCACAGGUCACAAUCUAGGGGGAGAAGGGAUGUUUCCUGAACAGCCAGAACACCCAUAAGUUUUCUAAUAAGACAGAUAGCUCAGACUCGGAGGCAUAAGGAUAGUUUCCAUCCUUGAACUUGCAAUCCUCCUGCCUCAGCCUCUGGAGUGGCUGGAAUUACAAUAAUGCUAAACACUGCAGAUGAAUGAAGGCAGACUGGUAUUUGCCUUCACGUCAAAAUAAUCAUCUCCACACUAACCGUUACUUAUCCCUUUCCACCACUCCCUCAAAUGAGUUGGUUAUUACAACUCCAAAGGAAGUCACUUUUCCAUCUGUUAAAGGUAAAACUGCCUGAAGAAAUCCUUACAUUAAGGUACCCUCCAGGAGGUCUGGAAGAGCUCUGCUAACCCAUGUCUACAAACCAGGAACUCAAGGCUCUUUGGAAGUGCAAAACUGCAGAGAUUGCUUAAGCGUGAUAAUCCCUGCCCUCUACUCAAGCUGCAUGUGUGUUGGGGAAGAGGAAAAGGGUACAUUCAUGGUAUCACAAAACCAGGGAGAAAAGAUUCUUAGUAAUCCAGAGCCAUCUCAUCUCUUAGGCUACUUCUUUGGAGAAUAUAAAGGCAUUUUUUUUGGAGGGGAUGGGGGACAGCACAGCCAGAGAUGCCAAAGUCAGCAGGGUAGAGGUAGAAAUAGCUCUGGAAACUUCCUUUCCAGGGUUUCCUUAGUUAGAUUUCUGAUUAGUUUCUUGUUUAUUCACCCUUUCAGAACUGCUACUAUGUCUUCAGAAAUCCGUGUACUCAGGGGAAAUGUCAAGCCCAUUAAAUAAGAAGUUGAGAAGUUUAGGAGAGUAAUAUACAUGUGAGUAAUCCUAGGUCAGGGGGGUAAAUAGGUGUUGCAGAUUGUGGACAUGGGGCCUGGAGCUUCUUGAUGAUUCAGAACAAACGGGAGACUCACAAGGAGUUCAACAAUGUAGAGGAGCUUCUGAGACCCCGGGACUCAAGGACAGUUCAGUGGACCUUUGGUGCUGGUGAAAACUAGGGCUGGGGGUGUAACUCAGUGGUAGAGUGCUUGCCUAGCAUGGGUGAUGCCCUGAGUUCUACUCAAACAUGGGGGUGGCUGGUGACACACCAGCUAAAAACUUUUGGGAAAGGGAGUUCAUGUUGCACUUACAAAUUUUGAUUAUUGCCUUCCAUUCUCCAAGACAGGCAAGAAUUCAAUUCAAACUGAUGCCCUAAGUGAGCCAGAUUCUGUUUUUUAGAUUUGUUGUUUCAGUAUGUGUGUGUGUCGGUGGGGGGGGGGAGGUACUGGGGAUUCCACCGGGCCUUGUGCAUGCUAGGCAAAUGUUC